UCAAGUUGUAUAGUGUUUGCCAACCUUACUGUUGAUAAAUAUACUUUCCAACGAUGUUAUUGCUGCGGCUUGGCGUCAUCUUGGUAUUAGGCAUAGGUUUGGAAGUCAUACACGAAAGUAUAGCCAAACGACAAGCAGAUCAAUAUCCAAGAAAAGCCAGGCCGGCUGUUAACGCCCUUGUCCAGCUGGAAUGUGUGAUGACGGUACAAGUUGUUGGAAAGAUUCAUAUGGAGGAGGUGCAGGUCGUGUUCCGGAUAAAGCAAAUUGUCCUCCUAAUCAACGCGACGACGGGACAAGUUGUUGGCUAGAUAGCUAUGGGAGAGGUGCGGGCAGAACACCUGAUAAAACAGCAUGUCCUUCUGGACUACGAGAUGAUGGUACCAGUUGUUGGAGCAAUGCACAUAUAUAUGGAAAGGGAUGUUGUUGCACAAUCUUUGGAUGCUGUAACAACUGUCGCGGUGGUUAUCAUGAUGAUGGAUGCACGUGCAGAAAAACAAAUGUAGGCAUAAAAGUGUCGCUCUUUCAUCGACAAGGAUGUAGAUCGAACAAAGAAAUGAAUGGACGUCUUUGCUAUCCAAAAUGCAGAGCUGGAUACCAUGUAAGUGGAUGCUGUAUUUGUACUCCAAAUGUCGGCCCAGGUAUACGAAAAACACCUGCACAAAGGCAAAGUUGUCGUAGUAACGAAGAAAGACUCGCCUAACUGUGUUACCCUAAAUGUAGAGAUGGUUAUAAACCUAAAGGAUGCUGCGUUUGCGAACAAAAUGACGGACCUGGUAUAAAGGUCACACUACCUCAGAGACAGUAUUGCAAAAAUAAUGAAAUCAAACUGAAAGGCGUUUGUUGGGAGACAUGUCAAAGAGGCUACAGUGAUAAUGAUAAGGCGUCUGUAAGAAAAUGUAGAGAGAACUAAUGAACAGACAAUAAAAACCGCA